rnacentral:lncRNA from 1 species
UCAUGGCUCUAUACGUAGUUGGCUCAUGAUAACCUAAACCCAAUCAUUGUCCUAUACAAGGUUGGCUCAUGACACUCAGCCUCAGCAACCACACAACUUACACAGCACAGGCAGCAUACAGGAGCGAAAGAGCAACUCGACUAUAAGUAUAAGGAGAGGAGCCACUGAACAACCAAGUGUAGUACGAGGCGGAAGGAAGACACGAGAAUACCCGAUGCUUUACGACUCCAUUCCUCUGUUGGACAAUCUUAUCAACUCAACUUUUGAAAGAGAGAACUAAGUGUUGGGUUAAAAGCCUCCAAUCCAAUCACACCAGCGGAAGUAAAAUCAAACAAUAAGUCAAACACACAAGAGAUAACAAUUUAACGUGAUUCAGUCCAAUUGACCUACGUCCACGGAUGAGAAACAAGAUCCAUUAGUUGUAGAGAAUUACAAACAUACAUCAAAUCAUCAACCUCGUUCAAUA